CUACGGGGUGCAGCAGUGAGGAAUAUUGCACAAUGGGGGGAACCCUGAUGCAGCAACGCCGCGUGGAGGAUGACGCAUUUCGGUGUGUAAACUCCUUUUAUAUGUCAAGAAAAUGACGGUAGCAUAUGAAUAAGCACCGGCUAACUCCGUGCCAGCAGCCGCGGUAAUACGGAGGGUGCAAGCGUUACUCGGAAUCACUGGACGUAAAGGACGCGUAGGCGGGUUGGAAAGUCAGGUGUGAAAUCCUACAGCUUAACUGUAGAACUGCACUUGAAACUUCUAAUCCAGAGUAUGGGAGGGGGAGAUGGAAUUAGUGGUGUAGGGGUAAAAUCCGUAGAUAUCACUAGGAAUACCUAAAGCGAAGGCGAUCUCCUGGAACAUUACUGACGCUAAGGCGUGAAAGCGUGGGGAGCAAACAGGAUUAGAUACCCGAGUAGUC
rnacentral:rRNA from 1 species